GGUAAAAUUAUGUAGGAUGUAAUAAAUAGUACAUGUAUUAUGUAUAAACAGGCGAAUAGUGCCGGUAUAGUUCAGAUAUUAUAAUUCUUAAGAGUGAAAUAAGAGCUAAUCUGAACCAUUUAAAUAUUAGGCCGGUUAUAGUGAAACAUAUGGUCAAACUAAAUCCAACAUGAGAUAUUUAGUAUGGAAUCAGUAGAGAUACAUAAGAUAACACACAGAAAAAAAGUCCUCAAAAAUAUCACUACAGGAUACUGAGAUAUCACGUCAUAUUUACUGGCGGAAAAAGUAUUUUCCAAUGUCCGUUAUCAUGCACCGUGUGCUAUUUUUUCUCUACUUCCGGUAAGAAGUAAACAUGUCGUAUUUCGCUGUCAAAUUGUUUGGAACACACUCUGUUCGAAGAAUACUGGUUAUUGUCAAGUGAAUCGUGCAUGUGCUGAGGAGAACUGUGUUAUUUGCGACAUGAAAGAUGAACGUAAAAUAGCAACAUUGGGUGAAAAAAUGUGUAGAUAGUUAAUUUCUGCAGCCAGAAAUAAAGGAGAACAAAUGUAUGUUAGACCUGAGAAAAUUGUGUGCUAUGAGUGUAGAAAAAUUACUGCCACCCGAACCUACUUUGAGAUGCAAACGGUACCUCUAUAACAUAGCGAAACGGUCACAUUGAUCUGACUUCGUUUCAUUUCAAAUGCCUGUUCUGGGGUACAGAUGUCAAACAAAAUUACAAAAAGGCAUAUGAUGAUUUCCAAAUUUCAGUCAACAAUAAAGAAAAAUUGGAAGCGAAGUCUUCUGUUGACUCUAAUCCGUACAUGAUCUAACAGCAGUUGGUGCAAGAUAUCAUCAAAAAUGUAGCACACAUUUCAGAACAGGAUGUCAAGUUCCGACUCUACAUCAAACACCUCAAAAUACUGUAAAACGUAGUAAAGGUAGACCAGCAAAAGAAUCAUCUGAAGAGGCAUUUUUGAAAACCAUGCAUUAUUUUGAAAACACGAAAGUGAGCAAAUAGCUUAAAUUAUUAAAUGAUCCUAGGCAGAGUCUUUGUAAAUAAACACUCUUAACAUGAUGACAUUGAAACAGCUGGUAGUAUAUCAUUCAUAAUUAUGUUUGUACAAAGGUAAAACAAAUGAAACAUUAAACACAUUGAGGUACAGAAAAUUCAUUACUAAGGCAACAAGCACAUCGGUAGUAAAGAUACAGAGCCUAACUCCUACAGAGGCAACUGCAAAGUUUCAUAGUUUUAGAGUGCACUGCCAUUAAAAUAGAGACAUGAAAUGGAAAGGAAACGAGCCCUCUUGACUUGGGAUGGUACAAACGUGGUGAUAAACUUGUUCCUUGGCACAGAGGUUGCUCUACUGGGAUGGCUGUAGAUGUCAUGACAUUAACACUUAACUGACUAUCAUAAUCUUGAGAGAGCAAUGAAAAGUUUUUCGAACAUACUAACUUUAUAAUAGAGCAUAUUUUUACAGUAUAUCGCAUCGCAGAGUUUUGUUCUCACAUUUUUGUACAUUUGCUGUUAGCUGAAAAUUGUAGUUUAGUAACGAUUUUAAAACAGUUUUAACAUUUUACUGUAGUGACCUGUUCUAUAUAUACUAUAGUACAGUCACUGUUGAUCUGGGAUUCUUUUCCUGAAUUUUUCUUAAUAUUUUUUUAUUAUUAUACUGUUGUUAUUAUAACAUUUAUUACAUUUAGUGCGAGUUUCAAGGAAAUAGUUUAAAGAUAUUGCAUGCACGUUUUAUUGAUGGGUGGACCCGCCCGCUUAGCUCAUUGGGAAGAGCACCGAUCUACGGAUCACGAGGUCGUGAGUUGGAUCCUCGGGCGGGCCGUAUGUUCUCCAUGACGACUAGAUAAAAGACAUUGUUUCUGAAAUCAUUCAUCCUCCACCUCUUAUUCAUGUGGGGAAGUUGGUAGUUACUUGCGGAUAACAGGUUUGUACAGGUACAGAAUCCAGGAACACUGGUUAGGUUAACUGCCUGCCGAUACAUAACUGAAAUACUAUUUAAAAACGGCGUUAAAUCCAACACAAAUAAAAUUGAUGGGUGGGGUAAAUCUAUAGUGUAAAUUAAUGCAUUUAUUAGUAAAUGUCACAACAAAGCUUAGUAUCAGCUUUAGUUUAUGUGAUAUUUCAUAUAAUCAAUGCCUCUGAUCGAAGAAAUAAACCAGCGUAUAGGUUUAAACUAAUGUUUGUUACCUAAUGAAUGAACCUCUUGAUUCGUCUGAAUCAUUGAAUUGCAAAGAGGGUGCCCUUCAUAAUCUCAUUUUUUAAGAUUUUCCAAUGGGAAUUUUUUUGAGGACUUUUUUUCUAAAAUGCUCUAAUGUUUAAAGAUUAUAAAACAAUAAAAACAUUUCAUGUUGGAAUUUGUUUAACCUUUUGACAUAAUAUGUGGUAAUAUGACCGGCCUAUAUGCAUAAUUUGAAGCUUUUAGUAUUUAUGCUUCUCACAAUGGUUGAACAAUUUUGGAAAACCUUAAUUUAUCAAGAAACAAUUUUUACAGUUUAGUACGGAUGAACUUGAAAUUCGAAAGAAAAUCCUGUAUACAUAUGAGCAUUUUGAAAAGUCAUCAAUCUUUUGAUAGCCCGCCCGCUGAUUAACUCAAUAGGGGGAGUGAAUAUCUACGGAUCGCAGGGUCCUGAGUUCGAUCCGCGGACGAGGCGUAUGUUCCCAGUGACGAUUUGAUGAAAGAAUUUGUGUCUGAAAUCAUUUGUCCUCUACUUUUGAUUCAUACAGGAUUCAUACAUGUAGGGAAGAUGACAGUUACUUGCAGAGAACAGGUUUUUACUGGUACAGAAUCUAGGAACACUGGUUAAGUUAACUGCUCGCUGUUAAAUACUAAACUGAAAUACUGUUAAAAUGGCGUUAAAUAUAAAACAAACACACAAAAUAUUUUUUGACUAUAUGGAAUUAAUUAACCAUUUAUUUUACACACAGUAUACUUUAAACGCAUAUUAACAUUUUACGUAAGUAUUGAUUACAGAAUACCUGUUUUUGCUUUCUUUUCAACUGGCUCAACUUCUUUUUGAUUCGUAGCAGUUCUUUUAGCAGAGAAACCUAAUAUAACAGAAAUUUACAUGAAAACACUGUUCGUCAAUUAUCAAGCUAAGAUUUACGUAAAGUAAUUCAGUGUUGAUAAAAGGGACAUACAUGCACAAAAACAGUUAGAAUUUUCAAAUAUGUAACACCUAUUUAAUUCUAUAAAUCGGUAAAAUCAAGCUCGCUGAAUUCAGAAAGUAUUCUGGCAAUAUUGAUAUAAACUUUGUCAUUGAACGUCAAAUUUCAGUAUCGACAUGUCAAUCUAAUAUUGUAUGACGUCAAUUGCUAUGUCAUAUUGACGUGUACCGUUUCCUUGAAAAGUUAUUUACAGGGGUACAAACAAAAUAUCGUUUAUAAAUGUAAGUCAGUAUGCAAUAAAAUAUUAGCUUUGCCUUGAGGAAUAUGCACUCGUUAUCCUAAAAUCAUGCAAUUUCUUUCCUUUGAAAUUCGUGCAGAUUUCUUGAUUCAAACCUAAUAACCUUUAAAUUUAGCAUUAUUGUCAGUUUUUAUGAAUGGUAAUUUCUUUAGCUCUGAAUUAAAUACGGCAUAUAGUCUUACUUUCAAAACGCUAUUUAGAUAAACCUUUUAUUAUGGAUGAACUUAAAACCGUCAAACUGUCUUAAAACCUUAAACCGUUCUCACUGUACUCUGCAAAGUAUAUUAUAUAAUUUUUCACCAUAUUUAGAGCACCUUCUUGUAAGAAGUGCAUUGUUGUAAAAUUGAAGUUACGAAAUCAGAUCAGAUUACAACAAUCUCGUAAAGUAGAUACUUUCCGUACGCAUAUUGUUCGGAAAUAUGUACAAAUGAAACACCUGUAAAUAUGAACAAGUUACAUUAAUGAUAAUAUCAAAUUAUUUGAAGCAAUUCUUAAACAAUAUUAUUAACUUCUACUUUACAUAAUCUUGCUCAACAUCAGAUUUAUAGAAAAUACGUACCUUUUUCGUUAAUUUUCUGAAUGCCAGCCUCCUGUAUUUUCUUUAAAUGAAAUACAGAUUGUUCUGAAAAUAAAUAGUUUUGAACAUCA